rnacentral:lncRNA from 1 species
GAAAGGAAAAGACGUUGGCUCUGUCUGAGCCUAACCUGAAGGUGUUGCUGCUGGUGGGGAACCCGAGGACCAGGACACUCAUCUCAGUAUUCCUUGGAGAAAGCCAUUCUGAAUUUGAGAGGUUAGCAGAGUCCAGGAGUCCAAGGUGCCAGGCAGAGGCUGGGACUGGAGGUGGGCUUUGUGUGGAGUCCCAGAAUGCAGUGUGCACUCCAGGGGUGUCCUGUGUAGUCUGAGGGAGGGUGCCAAGGGCACUGAAACUGUUAGGCUACCAAAUCAUUUCUCUCAGGAAUCUCAUCCCAGCAAGGAAAAGCUGACGACUCCCUCUGCAGCAGCCUCGGAGGUUAAGGAAGGCGUCCCAAGCAAGAGCCUGACAUUUAUCUUCAGGGCUCUGCUGCUACCACCAAGAAUGUCAACCUCAGCAGGGCAUGGUGGCGC